rnacentral:rRNA from 1 species
GGGGGUGAAGGAGUUAUUCUUUGUCUGUAUGUCGACGACAUAUUGAUCUUUGGAACCAAACUUGAUUUAAUCAAGGAGGUUAAGGAUUUCUUAUCUUGCUGUUUUGAGAUGAAGGAUCUAGAAGUAGCUGAUGUUAUCUUAAACAUCAAGCUGUUGAGAGAUGAGAAUGGUGGGAUCACAUUGCUUCAGUCUCAUUAUGUGGAAAAGGUCUUGAGUCAUUUUGGGUAUAGCGACUGCACGCCUUCUCCAACUCCAUAUGAUGCUAGUCUGAGUCGGUUUGUGUCAAAACCGGGAGAUGAUCAUUGGCAUGCGCUUGAGAGAGUUAUGUGCUAUUUGGAAGCCAUCGCGAGCUAUGGGAUUCACUACACCGGGUAUUCAAGGGUACUGGAGGGUUAUAGUGACUCAAACUGGAUAUCUGAUGCUGAUGAGAUUAAGGCCACAAGUGCUUAUGUUUUUACACUUGGUGGUGGCGCUGUUUUCUGGAAGUCUUGCAAGCAGACCAUCUUAACGAGGUCAACUAUGAAAGCAGAACUCACAGCAUUAGACACUGCCAUUGUUGAAGCAGAGUGGCUUCGUGAACUCUUGAUGGACUUACCUAUGGUUGUAAAACCAAUACCCCUUAUCCUGAUGAACUGUGAUAAUCAAACUGUGAUCGUCAAGAUAAACAGUUCUAAGGACAAUAUGAAGUCCUCAAGGCAUGUGAAGAGGAGACUAAAAUCUGUCAGAAAAUUGAGAAACUCCGGAGUUAUUACGUUGGAUUAUAUCCAAACGUCAAAAAACUUGGCAGAUCCCUUCACAAAGGGUCUAUCACGUAAUGUGAUAGAUAAUGCAUCGAUGGAGAUGGGUUUGAGACCCACC